rnacentral:rRNA from 1 species
UACGAAGGGUGCAAACGUUGCUCGGAAUUAUUGGGCGUAAAGCGCACGUAGGCGGCUUGGCAAGUCGGAUGUGAAAUCCCUCGGCUCAACCAAGGAAGUGCAUCCGAAACUGCUGAGCUUGAGUACGAAAGAGGAUCGCGGAAUUCCCGGUGUAGAGGUGAAAUUCGUAGAUAUCGGGAGGAACACCAGUGGCGAAGGCGGUCUUCUGGACAGUGACUGACGCUGAGACGCGAAAGCGUGGGGAGCAAACAGG